AUUGAACGCUGGCGGCAGGCCUAACACAUGCAAGUCGAGCGGUAGAGAGGUGCUUGCAUCUCUUGAGAGCGGCGGACGGGUGAGUAAUGCCUAGGAAUCUGCCUGGUGGUGGGGGAUAACGUUCGGAAACGGACGCUAAUACCGCAUACGUCCUACGGGAGAAAGCGGGGGAUCUUCGGACCUCGCGCCAUUAGAUGAGCCUAGGUCGGAUUAGCUAGUUGGUGAGGUAAUGGGCUCACCAAGGCGACGAUCCGUAACUGGUCUGAGAGGAUGAUCAGUCACACUGGAACUGAAACACGGUCCAGACUCCUACGGGAGGCAGCAGUGGGGGAAUAUUGGACAAUGGGCGAAAGCCUGAUCCAGCCAUGCCGCGUGUGUGAAGAAGGU
rnacentral:rRNA from 1 species